UACGUAGGGGGCUAGCGUUGUCCGGAUUUACUGGGCGUAAAGAGCGCGCAGGCGGUCGUUCAAGUCGAGUGUGAAAGUCCCCGGCUCAACUGGGGAGGGUCACUUGAUACUGAUCGACUCGAAGGCAGGAGAGGGAAGCGGAAUUCCCGGUGUAGCGGUGAAAUGCGUAGAUAUCUGGAGGAACACCGGUGGCGAAGGCGGCAUCCUGGACCAACACUGACGCUGAGUGAACGAAAGCCAGGGGAGCAAACGGG
rnacentral:rRNA from 1 species